rnacentral:rRNA from 1 species
ACACCUGUUCCCAUGCCGAACACAGAAGUUAA